GAUGAACGCUGGCGGCGUGCUUAACACAUGCAAGUCGAACGGAAAGGCUCCUGCUUGCAGGGGUACUCGAGUGGCGAACGGGUGAGUAACACGUGGGUGAUCUGCCCUGCACUUCGGGAUAAGCCUGGGAAACUGGGUCUAAUACCGGAUAGGACGAUGGUUUGGAUGCCAUUGUGGAAAGUUUUUCGGUGUGGGAUGAGCUCGCGGCCUAUCAGCUUGUUGGUGGGGUAAUGGCCUACCAAGGCGUCGACGGGUAGCCGGCCUGAGAGGGUAUACGGCCACAUUGGGACUGAGAUACGGCCCAGACUCCUACGGGAGGCAGCAGUGGGGAAUAUUGCACAAUGGGCGCAAGCCUGAUGCAGCGACGCCGCGUGGGGGAUGACGGCCUUCGGGUUGUAAACUCCUUUCGCUAGGGACGAAGCGCAAGUGACGGUACCUGGAGAAGAAGCACCGGCUAACUACGUG
rnacentral:rRNA from 1 species